rnacentral:rRNA from 1 species
UGGGGAAUAUUGGACAAUGGGCGAAAGCCUGAUCCAGCCAUGCCGCGUGUGUGAAGAAGGUCUUCGGAUUGUAAAGCACUUUAAGUUGGGAGGAAGGGCAUUAACCUAAUACGUUAGUGUUUUGACGUUACCGACAGAAUAAGCACCGGCUAACUCUGUGCCAGCAGCCGCGGUAAUACAGAGGGAGCAAGCGUUAAUCGGAAUUACUGGGCGUAAAGCGCGCGUAGGUGGUUUGUUAAGUUGGAUGUGAAAUCCCCGGGCUCAACCUGGGAACUGCAUUCAAAACUGACUUACUAGAGUAUGGUAGAGGGUGGUGGAAUUUCCUGUGUAGCGGUGAAAUGCGUAGAUAUAGGAAGGAACACCAGUGGCGAAGGCGACCACCUGGACUAAUACUGACACUGAGGUGCGAAAGCGUGGGGAGCAAACA